rnacentral:rRNA from 1 species
GUGAGGAAUAUUGGUCAAUGGGCGGGAGCCUGAACCAGCCAAGUCGCGUGAAGGAAGAAGGAUCUAUGGUUCGUAAACUUCUUUUGCAGGGGAAUAAAGUGCGGGACGUGUCCUGUUUUGUAUGUACCCUGAGAAUAAGAAUCGGCUAACUCCGUGCCAGCAGCCGCGGUAAUACGGAGGAUCCGAGCGUUAUCCGGAUUUAUUGGGUUUAAAGGGUGCGUAGGUGGUUUGAUAAGUCAGCGGUGAAAGUUUGCAGCUUAACUGUAAAAAUGCCGUUGAAACUGUCGGACUUGAGUGUAAAUGAGGUAGGCGGAAUGCGUGGUGUAGCGGUGAAAUGCAUAGAUAUCACGCAGAACUCCGAUUGCGAAGGCAGCUUACUAAGCUACAACUGACACUGAAGCACGAAAGCGUGGGGAUCAAACAGGAUUAGAUACCCGAGUAGUCC